rnacentral:rRNA from 1 species
GAUGAACGCUGGCGGCGUGCUUAACACAUGCAAGUCGAACGGGAUCCAUCAGGCUUUGCUUGGUGGUGAGAGUGGCGAACGGGUGAGUAAUGCGUGACCGACCUGCCCCAUACACCGGAAUAGCUCCUGGAAACGGGUGGUAAUGCCGGAUGCUCCAGUUGAUCGCAUGGUCUUCUGGGAAAGCUUUCGCGGUAUGGGAUGGGGUCGCGUCCUAUCAGCUUGACGGCGGGGUAACGGCCCACCGUGGCUUCGACGGGUAGCCGGCCUGAGAGGGCGACCGGCCACAUUGGGACUGAGAUACGGCCCAGACUCCUACGGGAGGCAGCAGUGGGGAAUAUUGCACAAUGGGCGCAAGCCUGAUGCAGCGACGCCGCGUGAGGGAUGGAGGCCUUCGGGUUGUAAACCUCUCUUAUCGGGGAGCAAGCGAGAGUGAGUUUACCCGUUGAAUAAGCACCGGCUAACUACGUGCCAGCCGCCGCCGUAACAC